rnacentral:misc_RNA from 1 species
UUUCCGUAGGUGAACCUGCGGAAGGAUCAUUAUCGUAAAACCGAGGUGCGAGGGCUGUCGCUGACCUUUUCGGUCGUGCACGCCCGAGCGCUCUCACACAAUCCAUCUCACCCCUUGUGCACCACCGCGUGGGUCCCUUUCUGGCUCGUCCGGAGGGGGGCUCGCGUUCUCACACAAACUUGAAGUAGUGUAGAAUGUCCUUUUUUUGCGAUAACACGCAAUCAAUACAACUUUCAACAACGGAUCUCUUGGCUCUC